UACGAAGGGGGCUAGCGUUGUUCGGAAUUACUGGGCGUAAAGCGCGCGCAGGCGGUCCUUCAAGUCAGAGGUGAAAGCCCAGAGCUCAACUCUGGAAUGGCCUUUGAGACUAGAGGACUUGGGUACGGGAGAGGUGAGUGGAAUUCCGAGUGUAGAGGUGAAAUUCGUAGAUAUUCGGAAGAACACCAGUGGCGAAGGCGGCUCACUGGCCCGUUACCGACGCUCAGGCGCGACAGCGUGGGGAACAAACAGG
rnacentral:rRNA from 1 species